GAUGAACGCUGGCGGCGUGCCUAAUACAUGCAAGUCGAGCGAACAGACGAGGAGCUUGCUCCUCUGACGUUAGCGGCGGACGGGUGAGUAACACGUGGAUAACCUACCUAUAAGACUGGGAUAACUACGGGAAACCGGAGCUAAUACCGGAUAAUAUCUUGAACCGCAUGGUUCAAUAGUGAAAGACGGUUUUGCUGUCUCUUAUCGAUGGAUCCGCGCCGCAUUAGCUAGUUGGUAAGGUAACGGCUUACCAAGGCAACGAUGCGUAGCCGACCUGAGAGGGUGAUCGGCCACACUGGAGCUGAGACACGGUCCAGACUCCUACGGGAGGCAGCAGUAGGGAAUCUUCCGCAAUGGGCGAAAGCCUGACGGAGCAACGCCGCGUGAGUGAUGAAGGUCUUCGGAUCGUAAAACUCUGUUAUUAGGGAAGAACAAAUGUGUAAGUAACUAUGCACGUCUUGACGGUACCUAAUCAGAAAGCCACGGCUAACUACGUG
rnacentral:rRNA from 1 species